GAUGAACGCUGGCGGCGUGCUUAAUACAUGCAAGUCGAACGAGGUGCUUUUGUAGCAAUACGGAAGUAUCCUAGUGGCGAACGGGUGAGUAACGCGUUGGUGACCUACCCCGAAGUGUGGGAUAACAGUCCGAAAGGAUUGCUAAUACCGCAUGUGGUCCCCGGGUUUAGAAACCGGUGACUAAAGCAGCAAUGCGCUUUGGGAGGGACCUGCGUCCCAUCAGCUAGUUGGUGAGGUAACGGCUCACCAAGGCAACGAUCAGUAGCCGACCUGAGAGGGUAAUCGGCCACAUUGGAACUGAGACACGGUCCAAACUCCUACGGGAGGCAG
rnacentral:rRNA from 1 species